CGAAUGUAAAACAUACGCCAACGAUUAGUUUUGAUCUAAUAAAAGCGUUCCUCCCAUCUCUUGUCGGAACUCUGGUUUGCAUGUAUUAGCAACCCUGCUUC